AGAGUUUGAUCCUGGCUCAGAUUGAACGCUGGCGGCGUGCCUAACACAUGCAAGUCGAGCGGUAACAGGUGUAGCAAUACAUGCUGACGAGCGGCGAACGGGUGAGUAAUGCUUCGGAAUCUACCCUCUAGUGGGGAAUAACCAGCCGAAAGGUUGGCUAAUACCGCAUACGUCCUACGGGAGAAAGCAGGGGAUCGUAAGACCUUGCGCUGAUGGAUGAGCCGAAGUCGGAUUAGCUAGUUGGUGGGGUAACGGCUCACCAAGGCGACGAUCCGUAGCUGGUCUGAGAGGACGACCAGCCACACUGGAACUGAGACACGGUCCAGACUCCUACGGGAGGCAGCAGUGGGGAAUAUUGGACAAUGGGGGAAACCCUGAUCCAGCGACGCCGCGUGUGUGAAGAAGGCCUGCGGGUUGUAAA
rnacentral:rRNA from 1 species